UACGGAGGGUGCAAGCGUUAUCCGGAUUCACUGGGUUUAAAGGGUGCGUAGGUGGGGCUGUAAGUCAGUGGUGAAAUCUCCAAGCUUAACUUGGAACCUGCCGUUGAUACUAUAGCUCUUGAAUGUUGUGGAGGUGAGCGGAAUAUGUCAUGUAGCGGUGAAAUGCUUAGAUAUGACAUAGAACACCAAUUGCGAAGGCAGCUCACUACACAAAUAUUGACACUGAGGCACGAAAGCGUGGGGAUCAAACAGG
rnacentral:rRNA from 1 species